UGCAGAGGUCUCGAGCGUUGUUCGGAUUCAUUGGGCGUAAAGGGCGCGUAGGCGGCGGGGUAAGUCUGGUGUGAAAUCUCGGAGCUCAACUCCGAAAUUGCACUGGAUACUGCUCUGCUAGAGGGCUGGAGAGGAGAUCGGAAUUCACGGUGUAGCAGUGAAAUGCGUAGAUAUCGUGAGGAAGACCAGUGGCGAAGGCGGAUCUCUGGACAGCUCCUGACGCUGAGGCGCGAAGGCUAGGGGAGCAAACGGG
rnacentral:rRNA from 1 species